rnacentral:rRNA from 1 species
GACAGAGGCCUCAAGCGUUAGGCGGAAUCACUGGGCUUAAAGCGUGUGUAGGCGGAUCGUUAAGUGUCUUGUGAAAUCCCACGGCUCACCCGUGGAACUGCUGGGCAUACUGGCGAUCUUGGGCCAACUAGGGGCAACUGGAACAAGCGGUGGAGCGGUGAAAUGCGUAGAUAUUGGGAAGAACACCAGCGGCGAAAGCGCGUGACUGGGCCUGAACUGACACUCAUGGACGAAAGCUAGGGGAGCGAAAGGG